AGAGUUUGAUCCUGGCUCAGAUUGAACGCUGGCGGCAGGCCUAACACAUGCAAGUCGAACGGCAGCACAGCAGUAGCAAUACUGUGGGUGGCGAGUGGCGGACGGGUGAGGAAUGCGUCGGAAUCUGCCUUUUUGUGGGGGAUAACGUAGGGAAACUUACGCUAAUACCGCAUACGACCUACGGGUGAAAGUGGGGGACCUUCGGGCCUCACGCAGAAAGAUGAGCCGACGCCGGAUUAGCUAGUUGGCGGGGUAAAGGCCCACCAAGGCGACGAUCCGUAGCUGGUCUGAGAGGAUGAUCAGCCACACUGGGACUGAGACACGGCCCAGACUCCUACGGGAGGCAGCAGUGGGGAAUAUUGGACAAUGGGCGCAAGCCUGAUCCAGCCAUGCCGCGUGUGUGAAGAAGGCCUUCGGGUUGUAAAGCACUUUUGUCCGGAAAGAAAAGCUUCGGGUUAAUAACCUGGAGUCAUGACGGUACCGGAA
rnacentral:rRNA from 1 species